rnacentral:lncRNA from 1 species
UGUUGCAGUUCUGUUACACAUACAGUUAGUGUAAGAUCUGCUGUAUCCAAACAACUCCAUUCUAGCCGAACCAAUUCAUUUCUUCUCCAGGCAGUCACCACAGGAAAACAUCAUAACUGCACAACAUCUGGGACAUUCCUCAGAGAAGAAAACUUUUAUCAUAAGAUUAAAACCAAUGAUUAUCUGAACUGUCAACAUUCCAUAUGGCUGCUAAGAAGAAAGAUGAUAUUCAAGAUUCAGCAUAUUACAGGCGGAACUGUCAGACAACCUAUGGAUGGUAUGGUUCACCUGGUUCAAAUUCUUUAGGCCGUUCUGGACGUUCAUCUCGACGAACCUGUGACCGGUUCAAUGAAAGAAAGUUACCCCGUCCGGAAUCAUCAAAUUAUAUUUAUGAAGGAGGACUUUUCUCAACACCAUCUUCACCCCGACGAGAUUAUUUUGUAAUACACCCUGAAUGGGUAUCUGAGGGAGCAACUCAUAUAAGACUGAGCAGAGACAAGAAAAACCGAACUGGUACUUGGCCAGGCCGGCGUUGUCGUAGUGCCCCACCCCCAAGUUAUCGGAAUCCAAUAACUUGGGAACCAAAUUAAUGUCAAGUGUGAUAAUAGCAAAUGUCUUUGGAUUCUUUUUUUUAAAUGUUUUUUUUUUAAAUUUGUUUCUUUUGCGAAAAAGAAAACAAAACGGAAAAAAAAAAGAAAAUUAAGGCUGAGCUUCUAAGAAAGAGUGGAGUUAAACAAAUAUAUACAACAUGACUUGUAAGAAAAGUGUAAGGUAACGUCAAAUACACACAACAUAAAUUGUAAGAAA